AUUGAACGCUGGCGGCAGGCCUAACACAUGCCAGUCGAGCGGAUGAAGGGAGCUUGCUCCUGGAUUCAGCGGCGGACGGGUGAGUAAUGCCUAGGAAUCUGCCUGGUAGUGGGGGAUAACGUCCGGAAACGGGCGCUAAUACCGCAUACGUCCUGAGGGAGAAAGUGGGGGAUCUUCGGACCUCACGCUAUCAGAUGAGCCUAGGUCGGAUUAGCUAGUUGGUGGGGUAAAGGCCUACCAAGGCGACGAUCCGUAACUGGUCUGAGAGGAUGAUCAGUCACACUGGAACUGAGACACGGUCCAGACUCCUACGGGAGGCAGCAGUGGGGAAUAUUGGACAAUGGGCGAAAGCCUGAUACAGCCAUGCCGCGUGUGUGAAGAAGGUCUUCGGAUUGUAAAGCACUUUAAGUUGGGAGGAAGGGCAGUAAGUUAAUACCUUGCUGUUUUGACGUUACCAACAGAAUAAGCACCGGCUAACUUCGUG
rnacentral:rRNA from 1 species